UACAGAGGGUGCAAGCGUUAAUCGGAAUUAUUGGGCGUAAAGGGCAUGUAGGUGGUUGCAUAAGUCUGAUGUGAAAGCCCCGGGCUUAACCUGGGAAUGGCGUUAGAUACUGUGCGACUUGAGUCGGUCAGAGGGUAGUGGAAUUUCCGGUGUAGCGGUGAAAUGCGUAGAUAUCGGAAAGAACAUCAGUGGCGAAGGCGGCUACCUAGGACCAGACUGACACUGAGGUGCGAAAGCGUGGGGAGCAAACAGG
rnacentral:rRNA from 1 species